rnacentral:lncRNA from 1 species
GGUAAAAGUUUAAUUUUAGGUGGUCUUGAAUUGAAUACACCUUUUAAAAGUCUUAUUAUGUAUGGAUGUUGGCCUACAGGAAUUUUUUCUAUAGGCGGUAAGACUGUAGAUAACAUGGACCUAUAUCCAGCUAUUGUUCUAUAUUGAAGUCCCUUAGUAAACAGACCUGUCAAAAAAUCUGCUACCUCUGUCAAAGAGGCAGUAUAGGGAUCAAUUUCCCUUUCAUUACACCAGCUACAGAAUUUUUUGAAUUUGCCAGAAUAAUCUUUUUGAGUUCCUGCCCUCCAUGAGGCAGACAAUAAUUGUCUAGUGUCCUUAGAAAAGCCUCUCUUUUUAAAGAGUCUGUUGAUAGAGGCCAUACAGUUAGAUUGAAUAUUUCUGGAUUUGGAUGAUAAAUCCUUGAUUCUGGCUGGUGUAAAAGAUUGCUUUUGAUUGGAAUUUUUAAAGGGUAAUCUACUAGUAAUUUCAACAGGUCUGGGUACCAAGGUCUUCUUGGCCAAUGUGGUGCUAUUAGAAGAAUUUGACACCUGUACUGGGACAUGUGUUGUAGAAUUUUUGGUAUUAGGCAUAUUGGAGGAUAUGCAUACCCGAACAGAUUCUGCC